GGCGAACGCUGGCGGCAGGCUUAACACAUGCAAGUCGAGCGGGCAUCUUCGGAUGUCAGCGGCAGACGGGUGAGUAACACGUGGGAACGUACCCUUCGGUUCGGAACAACUCUGGGAAACUGGAGCUAAUACCGGAUACGCCCUUAUGGGGAAAGGUUUACUGCGGAAGGAUCGGCCCGCGGCUGAUUAGCUAGUUGGUGGGGUAACGGCCUACCAAGGCGACGAUCAGUAGCUGGUCUGAGAGGAUGAUCAGCCACACUGGGACUGAGACACGGCCCAGACUCCUACGGGAGGCAGCAGUGGGGAAUAUUGGACAAUGGGCGCAAGCCUGAUCCAGCCAUGCCGCGUGAGUGAUGAAGGCCUUAGGGUUGUAAAGCUCUUUUGUCCGGGACGAUAAUGACGGUACCGGAAGAAUAAGCCCCGGCUAACUUCGUG
rnacentral:rRNA from 1 species